rnacentral:misc_RNA from 1 species
UUCUCAUGCGCCAGUAUUUCAAAGCAUAGGGUUAGGGUUUUCCUUUCCACUCCCGAUUCUUUUAACCCAAAGACAACAAUGCGAAAUCUCCUCCAAGAAUCUCCAGGGUCUCCGUUUUCAAUCCCAAUCUCUCAAAACCCUAAUUCGUCUCUUAAAGAAAGUGGCUUGCUUGGCUCGGGAUUGCACAAUUGGCUCUUCGAGUGCCAUGGGUUCUUGCACAAUGUCAC